UAGCUUUGUUGCCAUAGGAGGAGUCUACAUUGGUGUUAAGCAGUUGGUGCAGAACGCUAGGAUGAAGAGGGAUCUUGUCAAUGGUGCUGUAGGUGUGCAACUGUUCUGGGUUACAAAGAUGGUUGGUCAGUUAAUGUGUCUGCAAAUACUGGCACUGGAAGAAGUCAAUAUGUGAAUGCUGGAGAACUAAGUGGCAGCACUUCUUCACAUGAAGGACUUAACAAGCUGAUAAACAUAGGGGUGUUAGCUUUAACACUGAUUUGAUACAAAGUGAUCUUAUAGCGUAUAUAAACAUUGUGGGAGCAUAGAACUAAGAUAUAUUUUUUCCUAUGUAAAUUUUCUUGCCGGUACAUAUUUAUUUGUCGCAAUCGGCCAAAACCAAACCCACAUUUAGUAUUUUGAAUGUUGCUUCUUGUGCUUCAUUUACGCAGUGUUAUUGGUUGGUUUGUCCAAAUUAGCUAUAGCUGAUUCUGUUGGAUACUAUCAGACAUGUAGAAUCAGUUCAUUAAUUUUUAUUAAUUUUUUGCAGUAUUGUAAAUUUAUUGACAGAAUUACUUAUUCAAUCGCAGA